rnacentral:lncRNA from 1 species
AGUUUUUUUUCCUAUCUGUAUUGGGAUUUUCGUCCUCUCUGCUGCAAAACACUGUUGACACUGGCCUGUAGCUUGUGGGGAUUCUGGGCUCUGCUGGCACCAUUCACUAAGAUAAAAAGCGACAGCUCGGGAGCCCCCUGUGCACUCUGGAGCUUUCAGCCUGCAGCACAGGGCAGUAUAUCAAACACCAGCAGGCCAGCCCCUUUUUGUUGCAUUAGCCAGUCAAGCAUUUUGUGCUGCUGAAUGUCAUCUUAUUUAACAUUUUGUUAAACAACUUCUAAAGGUCUUAACAAUAUGACAGAUGGGCUUUUGAAUGGACGCUUUAAUGGCUGAGCAUUAGUUUGCUUUGGUUUGAUAGUGUUUAUUGUUAGUUAAGUACUGUUUAAAUAAAUCAGUCUCCCCCCUCUCUCUUUUGCAAUGCAGACAUAUUGAAGAGAGGGUUUUAUUCUUCUUGCAGUGGGUGUGUGUUUUGGUCUGUCAUGGAGAAAAGAUAGAUGUUGGUCUCAGUUCCAGUCAGUCUCUGCCUCAGAGGAUACAGCUCCAAGGUCUGAAUCAUGUCUGUUAAGGUGAAAACAUGGAGGGUUCAUCUUCCCCUGGGGAUUCAUCUUCACUACUUCAAAAGUGAUGAACUGCAAGCUUCUAUCUGCACAGACUGAAGGGCCAGUGCUGUGAUGGGAUGAAGCUGGGAAUAAAAUGUUUGGAAAGUCAAAGAGAAGCCUUCCCUUCCUUGCUGCAAGUAGAAGCUGGAGGAGAAACGGGAGAUCAUCUGAAAUCUGCAUGGUUGAAAGUGGGACUGUGCCCCUCCACUCGUACUGGGCAGCAAAAGGAAAGGAUCAUCACUGUAAGUCUGGGUUGUCUUUAUACCUUACUUUCAUUUCUUCAAUUGAAAUAUCUGUCUAAGUGAAAUGAUGUUGGUUUUUUGGAAGUCUGAUUUUGUUGACUCAAUGAGAUAAAACU